UGGUCUCCCUGGCACACAGUUCCCUUCACGAGAGGAAAGAUGUUGCCCAUGUUUAAUGUAUUACUGCUGUGAACAAGUUUAGAGGAGCAACUGCCUGUGUCAGAAGGCAGAAAUGGGACCAAUCACAACUUGUGAGCUGCUGAAUGACGCCGGCAGUCCUGCCUCUGAAACUUUUGAGGGGAAAAAAUAACAACCUCCUUCAAUUGUUCCCACAACUUGGUCACAGUCUCGGACAAGUUGCCAGAGAUCUACAAACACUUCCCACAGCCCGGAGCAGGCUCCUCUGUGCUUCACUAACAGUCACACCAGAGGUGGGUGACAGCGUCAUGGAGGAUUAACAAGCAAGCUCCACAAAGGCUGUCUAAAACAAAAAGAAGAUAAUAGGCACUUUGCACUGUUCCUGACAACUUCUCUUCUUUCCUACACUCCUAAAACCUCUGAUUUGUGCCCUCUGCUUUCUUGUUGCCAUGGAGAAGGUCCAAUACAUAACCCGCUCUGCUCUGAGGAGAGCCUCAACUAUUGAGGUCAACCCACAAGCUCGCCAAAGGCUCCAAGAGCUUUUUGUGAAUUUCUGCCUGAUUUUAAUUUGCCUCUUGCUGAUCUGUAUCAUUGUGAUGCUCCUCUGAAGUUCCAGCACUUCUCUGCACUGUCCUCUAGGAAAGUCACCCCAGAGGGAAGAGAGACCUACACCUGCAACUCCCAAUGCAAGGAUCCUCUUGUGAGAGGGGCUAGCACUUGGACUAGAGCUGUAUGCCAACCAUCGCACUAUUCUCUUACUACCUACUACCUACUACAUGUAUUAAAAACACACCUCUGUGCAGAACAGUGUUUAGAGCCUGUUGUUACAAAGCUGUACAUGACCUAGUUUGUCUGUCUCAAGAGAUGUCUUUUCUGAAGGGGGUAAAGUACUGGCUCUUCAUGGAGUUGGUAAGUUCCUCAAUGUUUUAGCUAGAUAACAGAAAGAGUAAAUUCACUUUUGGGGGGGCUGAUUGUUCUUAGGUUUCUCUGAAAAUCCUUAAGCCCUUGUAGGGGUUUCAAAUCUGGCCUUCAUCUGCCCAGGACAAGCUAGUUACAGGCACAUGGCCCUCAAUGCAUUCUAGGAAAAUUUCUGCCCUGCUUACCUCAAGGUGAUGCAUCUUUGCUUUAUUAAAGGUAUUCAAAUUGGUUUAGUUUCUUUUAAGGGAAUGUGAGAAUAAACCAAAAAUCUCUCCUAACCCAGAAAUAAAAACUAUUUCAUAUGCUUUUCUCCCUAUUUAAGGGAUCUUUAUUACAUAAACAUACAUGUGUAUGUGCAUAUAUAUACACACACACACACACAACUUGGAUCAAAAAAAAAAAAUUAAAACCCAACUUCAUUUACAGUGUUUUUCACCAGAAACAUCCUUACAGAACAAAGUGACAUCUGGAAAGUUUUUUUACUAUGUUUUGCAGGAAAAAAAAAAAAAAUAAUAAAAAAAAAUCACACUACCAUACUGGUAUCAAAGAUUUAAUUUUCUAUAGUCAUUUAACUGACAUGACAAUAGGCACAAUUCAGAAAUAAUUCUCAGAGUUCUUAAUAUUUGGCUUCAGACAACUUUAUUAUGGCCUACUGUAAUUUAUGUAAUAAAUUCUGUAGUUGCAAACUAUAGAAAACUUGGUACUUGCCAAUGUCACAGAGGGUGGCUUAUAUCUGAUGUGGUAAAGAGAAAGGUGUAGAUCACCCUUACUGCCAUGAAUGAAGUGCAUCAUACAAAUACAAGUAACACCACCACCUUCAACUGCAAAUGCCUGUUAGAGAACAAGCAAGUAUUUUCCUACUAUAAAUGACAGAUUCAAAAAUAAGUUUAAAAAAUUACACACAAGAAGGAAAGCAUUGCAGGAAUUAUUUUUAGCCAGUAAACCACAUCUAUGCAUGUAACAGUUUCUACUCCAGCAGUUGUCAGUAACAAGAUGGAGCAGUAGCCUUCCUACGUGUUGCUGGUAUUAAGCUAAAUUCCUAGAAACUUUAUACAGUUUUCCAAUUUAAUGAAAGGUCAAGAAUCAACAGAUAGAGGUCAAACAGACAUCCUUUUUUAAACAGGCAUCUUUCUAUACCACUCUAUGUAAGCAAUCCUGUUGAUGAAUACAGAAAGUCAAAACGAGUUUAUCUUAAUCUUGUAUUCUGCCUUUAAAACUUAGUAUUCCAUGAGUAGAGGUUGACAAUGAACAGCUGAACAGGAAGGGAAGACACCUUUGAAAAAAACCUCUGCAUUCAAUGGAAUGCAAGCAAGUCCAGCGGUGAUGUAUUUCUUAUCUGGCAGACAGAUAUGCUGAGACCAGACCUCUGAAAUAAGGUUAAUCACUAAUUAGUUAGCUACUGUAUGAGGAUUAGGGCAAACACUGAUGAGAUUGGCAACACACUCCCCCACUUGCAAGUCAGUAUAUUAAUAUUACUGAUUUGAACUGUCAACAUAAAUCUCAAUUUCCAUUUCAUGCAUUCUGACCACUCUCACAAAUGCAUGGGAUUUUAGUAAGCACACUUUCCCUAUUAAUCCUUCUUCUUAAGAAAAGCCAAAACCACAGUGCAU